AAUUUAUACGUAUAAUAUUAUAAAUUUUAAAAUAAGAUAAUUUUAUGUCUUAUGUUGUUAUCUUGAAAUAAUAUUUUUCUAUUAUAAAAGUUAGAAAUUAAGAUAUAAAACAAUUUAUAAUUAAAUAUUAAUCUAGCAAAAAUAUUUGUACAAAGCUAUUUUAUAAAAUAUUAAAUAAUUUGAUGUUUGAUUUAAUUUCUUUUUAAAACAUAAAUAAUAAUUUCUCAUGCUGGUUUUAAAAUUUACAAAACAUAAAGUAACAAAUAUUCG
rnacentral:lncRNA from 1 species